UGAGUAACAUGAUACAGGACACCAAGAGU
rnacentral:piRNA from 1 species